CCCGCCCCCGCCCCAGCUGGGCUCCUUCUCAUGCAAAGCAGAGGGGCCGCGGGGGUGGGGGUGGUUGGCGGGGACCAACGGGGCGACAGCUGGACCCGGCUGCCUGUCCUGCCUGAACUCAAGGCCCGUCGCCUCCUUUCAGGACCCCCAGAAAAGCGCGGUGAGGCCGUGAAAGGAGGCGCUUGGGGCGCCGGGCUGCAGGAAUGCCAGCGGGUCCCUGAAGGAAGAGCAGGGAGCGAGCCGGUGCGUCCUGGACCCUGCGGGACCCGGAGACCACGCAAACUCCGCAGAGACACGGUGAGGACGCGGCAGGUUCAACGCAGGAAACUUUUGGCCCGGGUCCCUCGGAUCUGAUCGGAGCUCCCGCUCUAUCCUUCUUCCUCUCUCGUUCGUUCCUGCCUCAGGCUGCCUUAAUCUCACUCCAUCACUCUCUACUGGAAAUGACCUACUUGUGUACUGCACUUUACAGUUUAUAUCACUAUCUUCCCUGAAUCGCGUAGUAAGAGGGGGGAUCGAUAUUACUUCCUUUUUCCUGGAGGAAGAAACCCAAGUUAGGGGAUUUUCCCCGAGAUCCCUGGGUCAGUGUACUAUUGAAGAUGAGAAGUUUGGGGGGCUUGUCACCUUGCUCCAUUGUGUAUUUUGCCCUGGGCACGUUUUCCAAGUCAGGAGUUGGGGGGUGGGGAGGGACCGCGAGGCCGGGACGGGCGGCAUCCGGCCGGGCUUCACGGUGUGCGCUCGGUCUGAGUAAACAAUGUGGCUUCCCACGAGGGCUGGAGGGACCCUGGGCAUGGAAGGUGGGGGAGCGAGGUCGAGCGUGGCGAUCUCAGACGCAAGUCAGCGCCGCGCCUCGGAGCAAAGACAGGACGUGGAUAGUGCCGGAAGGGAGAGGGUGAGCUGGAGGGGGCAGGAGACAGACAGAAGCAAGCGUGCGGAGAGGGGCGGGAAAAGAGAAUAAGGGCCGAAAAACAGAGGGAAAAAGAGAAGGAAUGUGGAAAAGUACGCUGGGAUCAAAGGAGGAAAGAGGAGUUGGAGGAAAUGCGUGGAAGAGUAGAGGAAAAGGAACGGAAAAGAGACCCAGAAAGACACCCAGCGCCAAAAAAAAAAAAAAAAAAAAAAAAACGGCAACGGGGAAAGGCGCGGAGCCGAGGACCCUGCAGGCGCUGCUGGGCGUCCGGCGGGACUCCGGGGGUGCGUGUAUGUGACAGGCGCGUUCGUAGGCGGCAGGAAAGGAGGCGGCGUGUUAGGUGGGAGACUCAGCGCCCGUGGAAAAGCGUGUGAGCGGCUCUGGGCAGGAAUCCAACAAAUAAAUAAAACGUCUAAGACGGCGUGACAACAAUG